UACGUAGGGCGCAAGCGUUGUCCGGAAUUAUUGGGCGUAAAGAGCUCGUAGGCGGCUUGUCACGUCGGGUGUGAAAGCCCGGGGCUUAACCCCGGGUCUGCAUUCGAUACGGGCUGGCUAGAGUGUGGUAGGGGGGAUCGGAAUUCCUGGUGUAGCGGUGAAAUGCGUAGAGAUCCGGAGGAACACCGAAGGCGAAGGCAGUGUCCUGGCGAGUAUCCUGACGCUGAGGUGCGAAAGCCAGGGGAGCGAACGGG
rnacentral:rRNA from 1 species